rnacentral:rRNA from 1 species
GACGAACGCUGGCGGCGUGCUUAACACAUGCAAGUCGAACGGAAAGGCCCUGCUUUUGUGGGGUGCUCGAGUGGCGAACGGGUGAGUAACACGUGAGUAACCUGCCCUUGACUUUGGGAUAACUUCAGGAAACUGGGGCUAAUACCGGAUAGGAGCUCCUGCUGCAUGGUGGGGGUUGGAAAGUUUCGGCGGUUGGGGAUGGACUCGCGGCUUAUCAGCUUGUUGGUGGGGUAGUGGCUUACCAAGGCUUUGACGGGUAGCCGGCCUGAGAGGGAGACCGGCAACAUUGGGACUGAGAUACGGCCCAGACUCCUACGGGAGGCAGCAGUGGGGAAUAUUGCACAAUGGGCGGAAGCCUGAUGCAGCAACGCCGCGUGCGGGAUGACGGCCUUCGGGUUGUAAACCGCUUUCGCCUGUGACGAAGCGUGAGUGACGGUAAUGGGUAAAGAAGCACCGGCUAACUACGUG